AAACUCUGGAGAAGCUCAUCCAUGCAUGAGUGCCGAAGGUGCAAGGGCUAUGCAGCCCGAAUCUCUCAGGCAAAAGGACAGAGGGG
rnacentral:ncRNA from 1 species